GGCCCGCCCAGAGACGUUGGCCCGCCAAUGAGACUCGACCGUGCGAGCGCCACAUUUACCAAGCAGGAGGACCAUCCACAUCAACUGCUAGCAGGAGACCUCUAAAAGCUGUUCAAUUCCUUUCUACCUAGCAGCCUCCACCAUAGCACCAUCCAGUGACUUACCAUCAGAAAGGGGCCAGCUCUACAUUACAAGAGGCGAGAGCUAAUUGUAAACUACAACCUUGUUCUUCCGAGCGCCAAACCAUAAUCAACGGUCAACUGAACGAGCUGCACUUUAUAAACAUUUUUCAUGAAAUGGAAACAAGUUCUUUGCAUAGCAAACAUUGAACCUGAAAACAAUAUAAAUUGUUUCUAAAAAUAUAAAUGUGUUACACUAUGUAUAAAAA
ensembl:lncRNA